CUGGUAUUUUUACCCACUUCCACAGGACACCGGAGAAACUUUUCCAAGUUCAGGCCUUAUGGGUCUCUGCUCUGCCUGCCCACUGUUCUUAGCACCACCCCCAGAACGUUCCGCGUCCCCUGAGCUCUGCCUGGCCUUGUCUCUCCAGACUUAGCACCUCCUGGCCCCCCAUCACGUUGCUCCACCCUGGCCUCCUUCAGGCCUCAGCUUCUACCUGCCUUCUGGCCUCUGCAUAGGCCGCUUCCUCUGCCAAGACACCCUCUCCCUCCCCCCCCCCCACCUGGUUCCCUGCUCCGGCCCUCCAGGUGUCAGAUCUGGAGGCCCUUCUGAUCUCAAUGGCCCCAGUGAGGGACCCACAUGAACCAUGGCCUCUCCUUUAAGGCUCUGCCCAUGUGCACCUUCAUACAUUCCGUUUAGGGACUUGACAGGGGUCUGUCGCUCAGCCAGAGGAAGCCAUAGGCAGGCAGGGACUAGUGCUUUGCUGCUACAGCCUGACAACAGUGGUUGGUGCCAGGACACAGCUGGUGUUGAUAAACAUUUGUUAGGUGCAUGAAUGAUGGAGGGAAGGAAUCCUUCCCAGCAAGCCCCUGUGAUCCCCAUUCCCUGCUCCCUUCCUGCCAGAGGUGAGCUCUUCGCCCUGGAGACCUAUCCUGUCUUUGGGAUAGACUGUGUUUGAGAAGCAUACAAGGCACAAUCACUAGUCAGUAAUUAGGGCAUGGAAGCCAGGCAUCAUGGGUCUGAACCUCUCACCAGCUGUGUGACCUUGGGCAAAUUGCUAAACCUUGCUGUGCUUCAAUUUCCCUAGCUAUAAGAGGGGGAAAGAAAUAAUAGUACUUUUAAUGCACAGGGUUGCUGUGAGGGCUAAAAAACCAAAUACAUCGAAAGCCCUGAGCACAUGCCUGGCACAGAGUGAGUGCUCAAUAGAUGGUCUUCAUGUUAUUAUUGCUACUGCUCGGCCACCAUAUUUCAUUUAAUUCAAAGACGAACAUUCUCUCCAGAUUCAACAUUUCUGAAAUCAGAACUGAAAUGGUCCCUGAAAU